GUCUUCGUGGUGCAGUGGAUAACACGCUCGACCCGUAACCGAGAGGUCCGUGGUUCGAUUCCCGGAGAAGGCG
rnacentral:tRNA from 1 species